UACGUAGGGGGCGAGCGUUGUCCGGAUUUAUUGGGCGUAAAGAGCUCGUAGGCGGUUUGGUAAGUCGGGUGUGAAAUCUCCACGCUCAACGUGGAGGGGCCACCCGAUACUGCCAUGACUAGAGUCCGGUAGGGGAGUGUGGAAUUCCCGGUGUAGCGGUGAAAUGCGCAGAUAUCGGGAGGAACACCAACGGCGAAGGCAGCUCGCUGGGACGGUACUGACGCUGAGGCGCGAAAGCGUGGGGAGCAAACAGG
rnacentral:rRNA from 1 species